CCCCGCGACCUUCGCUUCGUUUCCACGCGGGACUCUGCUCGGAGCCACUGACCCGUGGGUCCGACACCUCGAUGGCCCCACCAGCCGACGUACUCGCGGAAGGAGCUGAGCACCGCGCUGCCGUCCAGGUGACUGACAGGCACCGGACCAGGGCCCAUAUGUCACAGACUUUGGCGCCACCACAUUCCAAAUUCUUGCGUGCGACUUGGUCUGCUGACGCGUGGGACCGAGGAUAGGAUGUGACGCAAGGGGACCAACGAGUCAGUGGCGUGAGAAUGGUCAACUUGAUGUGGGGCGGCGGCCGAAGGGUUGGACGCGGUGGGGCCACGGGAGGGUAUCGCAUCCCGUGGAGAUGGUGGGGCCCGUCUGGCUGGCGGCAUCCGUGGAGAGGGUCGGCAGUGGGUACGUGAGAAAAAGCUGCCGGCUCGCCCGUACUCUUUCGCUGGCCACAGAACGAUCGCCGCCCAAGAUUGAUUCCCGACACUUUUCGCACGAUUUGACGUGUCAACCAAUUUACCCUCCGUAAUUUCCGGGGUUAAAAAAUCACAGUAGGUCUACCGUCACGAUGUCAUUUUCUAGUAGAAAAAUCUUGUGGCAAACAUUGCCUUGUAAAAACAGUGGCAAGAGGCCUAGAGGGUGUCUGACGAUGAGGUCAUGGGCCAUGUUCGAUUACAGAAUAUGACGACAUGAUGGUGAGUGCGCGCGCCAUGAUCUCAUGGCCAAGCUGAGAAAGAGAACAAUGUUAUAUUUUCGAAAAAGAGCAAUGUGUAUAGCCAUUGCCCUUGCUCCUUCCGGCUCUGCAACAAAUGGUGUGCAUAUCCACCACCUCUCAUCAUUGACAAUUACGAAUACUUGACAACAGAAAUGAAAAAUGCAUGCCAACAGGCUAAAAAAAAAUCUGUCAUCCAAUCUACCUCAGUUUUUGCUAUCUGAUACCCUUCAUUCGGGUGAAGAAUACAGCUAAAUGAAUGGGUUAGUAGCAGACUGCAAACCCCAGUUGCCAAGAGCCCAAGACACAGGAGCACCAUUUUAUCGCGACUUCAUGAGCUUUCGCAGGCUGUUGUUGUCUACACAUCGAUUCAGUAACUGUUCCGAGACCAAGCAAUCAACUAAUUACAAACAAGAUGCCAGUUAAAAAAUGUAAGAAGCAUGUUGAGAUACAGCUAGUCACAGCUAUUUAAAAUUGUUUUUCUUCACAUACAGGACGAAUUGUCAUCGUCAUUUACAGAGAGAGAGAGAGCUGGCUAACCAUGUCAAGAGUUCUGGGGUGGCUUCAGAUUCUUGGCCUAACCCUGCGGCCACUGGUGUCACCGCCGUCCGAGAGCUGCGCGCAAACGCUCUGGCUCUUUCCACCACUGCUGCACGGCUCCUCACACCCUGCAACGGUUUUCAGUAGCUCUGCCUGCAGUGCAAGGCAGUUCUCCCUGAGGCGAUUGAAUCCAUCACUCCGCAUUACAGCUGCAGAGACAUAAGGGUAUCUGGAAUGUGUUAUGGAGCUUUAUAAACUUAAUUGCACCAGGACUGUAAAAACUUAAUUGCACAAAUAAAGCAACCAAAAUGUUAAACGUUGGCAUGUUGGUAAUAUCCAGGUGAAAUACCUGGAAUUACCCAACACCGAAAUAGAUAGGUUGGCAGAAUUUCAACAAAGAUAUGGAUGUAGCAAUAAAGGACUUUCAAGCGCUGAAAAACUAGAUAAUUAUUCACCGAGCCAAUGUCAUUAGAAAACAUAUUGUAGGUAUUAUAAUCUAGCAUCCGAACCAAAUAAGUCACAUCUGAAAGCUGCUAAUGACAACAUGUGGCAGCCCCAGUAUACUUCAGUUAGCUUACCUUCUAUUCGUAAUUGGGUUGCUAAUGUACUACAUCUAGAAUAAGUACAACACCCAUUAAUGCAAACUGCAUCUGCAUGCUACCUCUUACAGAAUUGACAAUACCUUAGCAUCUUGUUCAUUCAGUUAAUAUUGUUAACACAGUCUAGGUUGUUUAAAAAAAACUAAUGUACCAAAAUGGCACUCCAGUGAUCUACAGAGCUGAUUAUAUGAAUGCCUAGCAAGCUGUAAUAAUGUAGGUGGCUCAUGCAUACUGUACUGAAAAGAAACAUGGAAGCAAGUAUAAUGGUCAAAUGCAUACUUCCACAAGAAAUAUAGCAAAAUAGUUUCAACUGGCAAAAGCAAGAAUUUUUUCAUGCCAGAAUAAUAACCAUAAAAAUGGACACACAAAUAAGGGGCAUACACUCAUACAUAGAAACAAAACAAAGUUUUUUAAUACUUAGGGUCACUAUAUGAUCACUCAUGCAAUACUUGGUUGUUGGGAUGUUGGUUUAAAUUGCAGAAUUAGGAGCUUAGAUUAUUUGUUUGAAUCAUGGGCCUAGGUGAAUAACUAGGGUCUGCCAGGCUUCUAUUUUUUCCUGUCUGCUUCUUCUCAAACUGAUGUAUUUCCAUUAUUUCUGUGAAUGAAAACGGGGUAGCCUCAUACCAGAAACAAGGGGAAAACAAAGUUUUUUUUUAUUUUUCAUGUUGUUCUUCUCUCCUCUUCAUGGCAGCACACUAUGAAUAUUUUCAGCUGAUAAGAAGUUUUGAAGCAAAUACUGGGUCACUUGGUGUCAUAAUCAGAAACAAGAUUCAGUAUGGAAAGCGUUAGUACCUGAAAGAUUUUCUGCAGCAAAUUUUAGGCAAACAGCUUUAAGCUCCAUAGCGCGGUGACGAUCAGCCAAUUCUAGCGUACUCGAAACUGAAGCCACCGUUACACCCUUGCACAGGUAAGAUUCACAUAGCAAUCUUAGCCUUCCUAAUUCAUACUUGUCUGCUGCAGCCAACAACUUAGCUGCCAGAGUAUCAAAGACAGAACCGUCAGAGCUUGAUGCGCCCAACUCGUUCUCAUCAACAAGGGUAUCUCUAUAGAGGAAAUGAAGCAUUGCCUGCAACGAAUAUUCGCAUACAUUAAUUACUUGCUAGUCACUGUUAUACUGUAAGGAUAAACUCAACAUAGGAAGAGCAGCAUACCUUGAAAACCUUUGGCUCCAUAUCAUCAAUAAAAAACUCUCUCAGUUCAUCGCUCUCAUCAACCUCGCUCUUCUCUCCAUCAGAUUCAUCAUCAAAAAAUUGAGAUCUGAAUACAUGAGAGCGUGCAGCCAACACCAACUUAUGGGCAUGAAACCUCUCUCCUCCCACAUUAAGAAUGACAUCAACACCCUCCUGAUUGUCCAACAGUGAACCGAAAUGAUAACCAAUGUCUGAGUCUGGAACCUGGAUAGAGUGUGGUCUGGAGUAAUCAAUAGUCGAAACAACAACACCCACAGUGCAAUUUAUCUUCAGGCAAUCGUCUUUAAGAAAGUCUGAUGUCUCAAGGGCAGUUCGCCGAAAGAACCGUUUGUAACCCCUGAAACAAAGAAGGAUCAAUCAAAUUAAAUUCUCACAGGCUGAUUAGCUGUCUUAACUUCAGGGAAUGGCAGUGUUGCAAGAGCAACAAUUUCACACAAUACAGUUUCCACAUGUAAACAAGCCUUAUCCAUUUCUCAAUUUACAUUAUCAAUGCAUCACAAGGUGAUAUUUUUGUGCCUGUGGUUGAAUUGGUUCCGUAGACAGUAUGCAUUCAAAAUAAGUAAGCAGAUUCAAGUAACUAACUGCUGUUUACAAUAAACCAAAUCAUUAAAUGAACCCAAGUAUUGAGGUGAACAUCUAAUAAAUAAACACUAAAAAAACUCGAAAUAUACAGGUUACCAUGGAAUCACUGCUGCUAACUACAGCUUUGCACUACCAACAAACAUACCAGCAUGAAAAAAGUAACAAGCCAAACAAAAAUAUCAAAUCCAGGGACCUCAAAAAAACAGAAGUAUACAUGUGUCAGACCAAACAAGAUUCCAUGCAUGCUUCAAGAUUUCUUGCACUGAAAGAGAAGGAGACCAAUUCAAUGGAGCAGGGACUGGCAUCCGCUUUGCCUUUCCCCCUCAAAAAAAUAAUGUCCAUUGACUCAACAUGUAUCCUAGAAAACUAAUAAAAAACAAACAUCAACUGUGUAAUUCCAACUUUCAGUUCAACACUAGCAACAAUUUGUAAAAAUUGCACAGGCAAAAUUAGCUAUAGGCUUACUGAAGGGUGAUCAAAUGCAUAAGGAUUAAUGCCACUUCAGGAAACUUUCAGGGAAACAGAAAACACAAAACUUAUUCAAUCACAAACACAACCAAUUGCCAAUAUGUUCUAGCACAAAGGCAGUAAAAAAAUAUUAAAACAUCAGUACACUACAACAACUAAAAACAAACUACAGCAACUGAAAGCAUACAUUCAACAGCAUCAUUAAUUUGCUGGAAUCGCCCAAAAUCACUAUUGGAACUGCCAGGCGUGUAUGUGCGCAUUUCGAGCAUGAAUCAUAAUCUCAUGAUAUCUGUGUGCCCUAAUUUCAACAGUGGAAAAUUCAUCAUUGCACAUGCCAAUUUAUCAGUCAAGCGUACAAACAACUAACAUCCAAAUUUACCUCGAAAAAAAAAACUCACAUCCAAAUUAAAGGAUAGAACAAAGUUGCAAAAGAAAAUUCAUAACCCCACACACAUAAGAACUGAUAUUCAAACAGAACUACCAACAUCAAAUGGGAAAUUCAUAUGGCUACCUGAAGACCAAAAUGGGAACCUAAUUAUCACCGCAAUAGACCCUUGUGCACACUAAAUUCUCCAUUCACACCCACAAGCACCCACAUGAAGUCCAAUAAAUCAUCCGACUGUCAGAGUACAAUUUUGCAACAUAAUCACACAGGUGCCAUCACAGCACCAGAGCCAUGACAGCCCAUCCAUAUCAACCCUAACUGAAUGCUGGAUAGGCUAUGAUUCAGCUACAGAAUAAACCUCUGUGGAUGCUAAUUCGUCGCAACAGAAGCAAGUCUCGUAUUAGUGAUAAACCUAGCACAAUCACAUCAGCCCUGAUUGAAUAUUGACUCCUGGACUGCAAUUCCACUGCCAAAUUAAUCUUGUGGAUGCUAAUUCGUCACAACCAGAGCAGUCUCAUACUAUAACGAACCCAGCACGACCGAAUACGGAACAAGCACGGCAAAAAUGGACCGGGAGGGAUCAGCGCGGUGAUUACCACAUGGAUCCGCGGUACUUGAGGGUGUACGGGCCGGACUCGAGGGAGCGGUCGAAGUGGGAGUGGACCUUGUGCUUGCCCUUGCCGCUCUGGUCGAGGAGCGUGAGCUCGAAGAGCGCGCGGACGUCGGUGCCCUCAGAGGCGAGGGCGAUGAAGACGGAGACGUAGGCGGAGUUGUCCUCGGGGUUCUUCCCGUCGGGGUAGAAGUAGACGGCCCACUGGAACCCGCCCACGGAGAAGGUCUCGCUGGCGAUGUGCUUGCCCACGCCCAUGCCCUUGGCGAGCGAGUAGCCCUGGAUCACGAACCGGUGGGAGCCGUUCACCGUCUCCGUCACGGAGCGCGAGCUGGUGGGGGACGACGACAUGUCCCGCUGCGAGGGGGCGGGGGGCUGCGGGGCGGGGGCGGGAGCGUGAGGAUGGUGCGCGUGCGCGUGAGCGUGAGCGUGCGCCGGGGGAGGGGGUGCCGGCGGCGGCGAGGCGUCGCCGGCGUCCUCGUCCAUGGCGGGCGGGGUAGGGUUAGGGUUCCGGGAGGGGGAGGCGGGGGAAUGGGGAAUUUGGUCUCGGUUCGUUUGUUUGCGGUUGCGGGUGACGUGAGCGUGCGUGGAGAGGGGUGGAUGGCGAAGCAGCGAGCCAGUGAGCCAGCCGGUCGCGACUGCAUGUCGCAUAAUACGUGAGUCUCACUUAUCAACGACAGGUCUUUGCGGGUCCCACCUAUUGGAUCCUUCUUUUUUCAUCCGGCUCCUUCCUCUUCCUCGGUUCGUGCGCCGCCCCCCUCUCCCUGGAGAUGAGGUCUCGGGGGAGCCGGGUUAGAGCGGUGGAGGAUGGUGGCAGCGGAUGCGGCGGCGGGAGCCGCCAGAACCGGAGGAGGAAGGCGGCGCGAGGCAAGUAGAGGAGAGGGGUUUGGGUUCGGUGUUGGGGGCUCGCCACCGGUAGGGUUAGGGUUUGGGGUGGACUUCGGGCUUGGGGUCUCCCGUGACCUCCGGCUGUAGAGGGAGGGCCUUGGGCGGCGACGGGUCGUGGGCGGGGCGGCAGGAGCCGCUAGCCGCGGGUGUCGGAGGAUAUCCGGUGGGCGGCGGAGGAGGCAGGGGAGUGACGGUGAGCAUCCCAGUGGAGUCGGGUUAGAGCGGCAGCAAGAGCCGUCGGAGUUGGUAAAGGAGGGCAGCGUGGGGGCGAGAAGGGGAGUAGGGGCGCGGGGGUGACUGGAGGAGGAAGACGACCUCCUCGUAGGCCAUUUGGGUAGGCCGGAGGCGGUGGUGGGCCGCGUGCUCACUGAAGGCGGCGUGUCGGCGAUGCCCAGCUGCGCCCGCCUGGUUGGGCCUUUUGCGGUUGUGGGUUGUGGGUGACGUGAGCGUGUGUGGAGAGGGGUGUGGAUGGCGAAGCUGCGAGCCGAUCGGGCAUGAGUUGGCAGUGAUUGUUCCGCUCCGUUUGAUCAGUUUCGUCACGUACUCGCAUCCGUCAACUUCCACAAGCCCGUUUGGAGCCCUCUCUAGCUCAAUAUUUUGAUGCUAAUUAGGACAACUAAAUAUGAACUAAUUGCAUGAAUUAUAAUUAAUUGAUAAGUAGAACCCAUUGUUCUAAUUAGACCACGAUUAGCUCAUGUUGUGCUAUAGCAAAUAUGAACUAAUCAUGAUCUAAUUAGGAUUAGUGGAUUCUACUCAUCAAUUAAACGUGACUUAUGCAAUUAGUUUAUGUUUAGUCAUCCUAAUUGAUAUGCAAACAUCGAAACUAAUUUUUAGUCAAAAGCUCCAAACAGGACCCAAAUCUUUCUCGAUGUGUACACAUGCAAAGCUCCGCAUCGUUACCGAUGAUAAAGGGUUUGCGCUGAGGAUUCCGACCCUGACUCGGAUUCCGACCUUAAGCUGCAUAGGGAUCUCCGAGUUCACCUCCUACGUGGACGGCAACGCUGGCCACCGCUUGCUCCCAGUGCUGUUUAACUGGGCACCGAUGAGCGAUGAACAGGCUAAGCGUAUGAUUUGCCUUUAGAUUUGGGUCUCUCAAGCGAACAGUCGAUUCCUCACGUUCAUAGUUCAACCUUUCCGCACACAAUAGCUAUUGUGAGAAAACUUUGUGUUAGUUAUUGUGCAUUCCCUGUUUUGGCGCACUAGGCCAUAGCACAUCUCGCUAGCGCUAAGCAGCUAGCUAAUCAACCAGAUGCGACGCAUUUGUCUGUUUCUGUUUCCGCGAAUAUGGGGCGGGCUGGUUAGAUAUAUUUUUGAAAAAAUUGGAUAUAUAUCCAGCCUCUGCGACCGCACACAUUCAAAUUUUACAUUAUUCAAUUCUCAGCACAGAUCACACAAAUAAGUGUAAUAGUACGCAAACGACAGGAAGAAAUUAAAAGCAAAGUCUAUUAUAACUUCUCGAUCCAUUCUUGGCAAAGAUAUCUAGGGCGACGAUCUCCAACUCCUUGCUCGCCAAACAGAUGGUCUCCCUUGCUUCCUCACGCUGCAAAAGGGACCAAUAGCGUAGCCAAUAUGCUCCCCUGAAAAUAGCCUGCAUAAAAGAGACUAUUUUUUUUUCAAAAAACAUAUCGUUACUCGUACACUAAAUUGCCCACAUCAAAGCUGCAAGAAAAUCAAAUUUCUAUCUUUUUUAUUCAUGUUUGUUACCAAUUUCCAAGUAUGUGUUGUAUUGAUCUUAGUGGGGUUAACCCAAUAGCUAUAGUUACAACCGUCCAAAUUAUCUUAGCAUGUUGACAAUCAAAGAAGAUAUACUUAAUUGUUUCGUUACAGAAACAACAUUUUUGAAUUCCACUCCAAUUCCUCUUAGCUAAGUUACUUUGUUAAGAUAACACACUGUUGGAGAUACCAAGGGAAGAUCUUUAUUUUUAGAGGAAUCUUUAACUUCCAUAUAAAUUUAUUGAUGAAAGGAAUACCCUGGUUAAUGAGAUAUUAAUACAUAGUCUGAACAGUAAAUUUGCCUUAUCUAUGCCUACGCAAAUCGUAGGUAAAAUUCUCCCUCCCAUCAGAAAGCUGGUGAGCUUUUACUUUAGCUAAAGAUUAUGCCAGGCAGUCAGUUUAUCUCCGACUAAAACUCUUCGAAAUGAUAUAUUUAGCGGCAUUUGGUUCAUGACAUUUGCCACGUAGGGAUAGUAUACUAUAUUAUAUAGAGUGGGAAAUUACUCUUUAAGUGGUGUAGAGCCUACCCAUGUAUCCUCCCAGAAUCUAGUUUGGGAACCAUCUUUUAUCUUGAAGGUCCCACAACCUAGAAAAUCUUCCCUAACUUUAAGCAAACCUUUCCAAAAGUGUGAAUCGCCACGUUUAAUUUUAACCUGGGAUAGGCAGCUUGAACUCAGAUAUUUAUUUCUAAGUAAGGUAUGCCAUGUGACAUCUUCAUUUAGUAAUUUAAAUAGCAAUUUGCUAAUGAGACAUUUAUUUUUAAUAUAUAAGUCUACUAUUCCCAGACCCCUUAUCUUUCGGACGGUACAAGAUAUCCCAUUUAGCUAGGCAAUAUUUUUGUUUAUCACUAUUGCCUUGCCAAAAAAAUCUGGAUCGAUAGACAUCUAAUCUUUUCAGGACACUUUUAGGGAUUUCAAAGAAAGACAUCACGAAUAUAGGCUACUAAGGACGGAAUUUAAUAAAAUCAGCUGACCCUUAUAGGACAAGUGUUUAGCCUUCCAUGUACUUAGUUUGCAUUUGAAUCUUUUCUCGGUAGCACUCCAAUUCGCAUUACAGAGUUUGUGUAGUGCAUCGGGAUGUCUAGGUACCUGAAAGGGUACGAUCCUAGUUCACAGCCAAACAAUUGAGUAUAUUAUUGCUUAUAAUGUUUAGCUUCUCCAUAGCAAAAGACUUCACUUUUAUGAAAGUUAAUCUUCAAGUCUGACAAUUGUUUAAAGACAGAGAGCGAAAGCUUCAUAUUCUUAGCUUGCUCUAGAUUGUGAUUCAUGAAUAUGAUCAUGUCAUCUGCGUACUGCAAAAUAAAUAAUCCUUUUUCAACCAAGUGAGGAAUGACUCCUUUAAUUUGCCCACCAUCCUUAGCCCUCUUAAUCAAGAUGGAGAGCAUAUCUGCCAUAAUGUUGAAUAGGAUAGGUGACAUGGGGUCUCCUUGCCUCAGACCCUUUUUUGUUUGGAAGUAGUGCACAAUGUCAUCAUUAAUUUUGAUGCCCACACUACCUCCCGAGAUAAGAUUUUCAAUCCAUGAACACCAUUGUGGGCAAAAUCCCUUCAUUCUGAGUGUCUGUUGUAAAAAAAUGCUAUUUUACUUUAUCAUAAGUCUUCUCAAAGUCAAUUUUAAGAAUAACGCCAUUGAAUUUUUUAGUGUGUAGUUCAUGGAUAGUUUCAUACAAAAUCACUACUCCCUCCAUAAUAUUCUGACCGGACAUAAAUACCGUUUGGGAAGGUCUAACUACAUUGCUAGCCACUCCCAUGAGUAUAUUAGUACUUGGUGAAAAUCUUGAAACUCACAUUAAGCAGGCAGAUGGGUCUAAAUUGUUGUAUUUCUGUUGCCCCUUUUAAUUUGGGAAGGAGGGUAAUUACUCCAAAAUUGAGGUUGGGUAGAGGCAGAUACUCCUCAUAAAAUGAUGUGAAAAGCUCCAUCAGGUCUUUUUUUUAAUAUCCCAUAAUACUUGAUAAAAUUCUGCUGGAAAUCAUCAUGUCAGGGUAUUUAUUGUGCUCCAUCUGGAACACAGCCUCUUUUACCUCUUUCUCUGUAAAUGGUGUUGUGAGGAUACUAUUUUCAUUUGCAGUCACCUGAGGUAUGUCAUGGUUUUGAUGCUCCACCAUAGUAAAAUCAUUAACAUAUGGUGGUACGAACAAAUCCUUAUAAUAGUUUGUGAUAUAAACUUUUAAUUCAGCAUCACCCACUAUUAUGCCAUCUUCUUGUUCUAAUUUAAAGAUGUGUUGUUUUCUAUGCUUGCCAUUAGCGACCAAAUGGAAAUAUUGGGUGUUGUCAUCACCUUCCAAUAGGUAUUUAAUUUUAGCUCUCUCAUACCAUUUAAUUUCCUCUUCCCCCAAUAAGUGAACUAAUCGUUCAUUGAGGUAGUGUUUCGUAUUUAACUCAUGGUCAGAGAGCACCCUUAUCUUAGCUAUUUUAUCUAAAUCAUUGAUCAUUAGGAUUAAUUUUUUCUUCUCCUUUUUAUUAUGGCCAGCUAUAUUUUUGAUCUAGCCCCUCAAAAAUUGUCGAAGAGCUCUGAUUUUAUUCUGCCAUAUGUCCAUAGAAGUGGUUCCUUUGGUUUUUGGAUUGCCAUUUAUUAGCAACCAGAUCUCUAAUAAGCCAGCCACGUUCAAAUUUAAAUAAUGGUUGUUGUUUGUUGUGGGAAGAAGCACCUGUGUUUAAUAUUAAAGUUGUGUGAUCUGAGUUACUUCUAUCUCUGGCAUGUACUGCUGUGAGAGGAAACUUAUAUUUCCACCCUGUACUAACUAAGACCCUAUCUAGUUUAUCAAAGGUUGGAUCAUCCCCGCUACUCGCCCAAGUAUAUUGACGACUUGACAUUUCUAUCUCUCUGAGAUCAAGAGUUUGAACGGCCAUGUUAAAUAAAUCUGGCCAUUUUGCAUCAAAUUUGUCCAUAUUUUUAUUUUCAGGAUGACACAUUAUAUUAAAAUCCCCACCAAUUAUGUACGGUAAGGAUUCUUGGUUACAUAUGUGGGCCAUCUCAGUUAGAAAACUUUCCUUAUGUUCCUUUUGAGCAGGACUAUAAACUACAAACAAUGCCCACUUGUACCAUCAUUUUUAUUUUGGAGUGUGAACUUAACAUAAAAGUCCCCCUCAUUGAUGGAUCCAAUGUCAAACAUGUAAGGUCAACUCCAAGGAGAAUGCCCCCGGAUCGACCAUGUGGUGCCAUGCGGUGCCAAAUAAAUUCUUUGCCACCAUAAAGUUUUUUAAGGGUCCCAUUGGGGAAGUGAUCCUGACCCGUUUCCAUGGGGCAACGAAAACUAUUUGCUCCUCUUUAACCAAAUCCUCCAAGUACUCAUGUUUAGUCAAGUCCGCAAGAUCUUUGCUAUUCCAGAAGAUCCCUUUCGUUUGAAACUUAGCUUAGAUGGUGCUAUUGGUUUUUUAGCCGAUAAGGCCGCCUUAUUAUUCUUUUUCCAAUUUUUUUCAUGUGGGGUGUAGCAAUUAGAUGAUUACAAAUGUGGUCUAGGGCCUCCUCGUGCACACUUUCAUCAAAAUCCCCACAAGCGUGGUGGAGCUGUGCACUAAGUAGUCCUCUUCUCCCUCGUCCAGAUUAAUUUUAGGAGAGGGAGACUUACCUGUUGUUACCAACAUUUAAUUUAGCUGCCACCUUAAGUCUAUAAAUUUCUAUGUUUUUUAAAGAAGUAACAGAAGAUAUAACACUAUUAUCUCUACCCAUAGAAACACCUAGGUUGGCAAUUCUAGAAACAAUAUUGGAAUAUGAAAUAGAAGGAAAAGAUGGGCAAUUACGUAGUUCAAGUGAAUUUUUCUUGGCCACCAAAUUAAUUGCUUUUUCUACCAUGUUUGUGUCAUCCAUUGUAGAAGCUCUUUUACUGGAUCUUUUCAUCAACCCAAUACCCCUAUUAUUUGCGGUAGAAAUCACUUCUAUUCCAAUGAUGGUGUCAAGAGCUUGGGGAGCAUUUUCCAUUGCCACAUUGGUGAGAUUAGCCUGUUUUCCAUUCUUUUUGAAAAGUGCUUGGAGCAUGUGUCGAGGUAGUCCAAGAAAUUUGUUUGAAGAACUAACCUCUUGUUGAACAGCCCCGUAGCAAUCAAUGGUUCCCAAUGAAUAGCAAUCUCUCCGCUCGCCUGUGUAUUCAGUUCCUUCCUUCGAUGGCACACCAUCAAAUGUAAGGUUGGCCUCCAUGACAGAGCCCCUUUGUAUGUUAUCCUCUUCCAUGGGCAGCGAACCUGAUGGGGGAUUGCUUCAGUGUCAUCUGUCAGUUCUGAUUCAGCAGCACCAGCUCCCAACUCUGAUGCAGCUCCAUCCAGUUCGAGAUGAACCUUGGGAGGGUUGGAUAACUCCUCAGGCAGGAUGAGUUGCUCAUACGAUGGUUUCAAGGAGAAUGAGUUGGUCCUUUACUUUAGCCUGUUGAUGGGUUGAUCUGGUGAUGGACGAGUCCAUUCCGUGCGUCAAACCAAACAGUGAGUCCAGGCUCGGAAGGAGGAUCAGAUGAUUCCACAUGGCGCCACGUGUGAACCAAACACGUUGUUAGAGUAGCAGUCAGCUCGGCUGGUUCUAUCCGGAACACCAGAGAUAUUGGUUUGUCAAAGAUGAUGGUACGAUGCAUAGGUAGGAUCAAGUCAUAAUUGUAGAAAAACAUAACCUGAUGGGAUAGGCAACGGACGCAUGACAUAACCGCGGUCCUUGAAGUACAUGAUUUAGGCGGCGAAAAAUAUAUUAUGUCGCGCUGUAUCUUAUUCUUUACUUACAUCCUGCUCUAGUUAAUUAUAGUUUAGUUUAAUGGCCAGAUUUUCCUUGUUUUUUUUUGAAAGCGCCAGAUUUUCCUUUUGGAUAGCCUAUGGCCGGAUAGGCAAAAACACGAAGAAGGGAAGCACGUGGAUAAUUUGCAUAUCAGCUUCCUCAUGGGCCAUACAUCUGGAAGAAGUUAUACGAAACGGCGUUAACUGGGCCGCUAGUUUUCUUUUUCUCCACUCCUGGGCCGCGAAACAGAGCGCCGGCUGCCGGCUCGACGAGCUCUCUCUCUGUAGGCGACAGCGACGCAUAAUCAUCGCUCCCCUUCUCUCUCUCGCGGUGUCGGCCUCCCUUACCUAGCGGCGACGACAGCGCGAGUUGCGCUGCCCGCCAGUUCUUCGUCGGGCGACGGGCGCUUCGCCGGCGACGAGCAUCCGACAGGGGUAUGCCUUCCCAUUCCCCUCCCUUUCCCAUCCUGCUGCGCGAAGUCGAACACCAAACCCCUAGCGUGUGGUAUUUGUAUUCGGAUCUGACCAUGAUUUUGCCUAUUAAAUUCGGGGUUUUUUUUUGCAACAAUACUACUACUAGGUUAAGUGUCCUAUGCUAGGUCCGCCCCUGUUGUUAGCUCUCUCCUCUAUUUUGGAAAAAUGUUUAACUCUGCGCUUUAUGCUAUAGAGUUUCUCCUACUGGCUUGUUCUUUCAGAUGAAUUUUUUGUUUGUUAAGAGUUAAGAUUGGCGCAGAAGAUUGAUAGCUUCAGAGUCACAUAAUGAAUGGGGGAAAGGAAAGAAUAAUUAAUCCUGUGUGGCGUCCAAUCUGCACUGCUAAUAUGUUUUGGGGAAAAUUUGGCAGCCCGCGGUGCUGAGGCACUGAAUUUCCCAACUACUAGUUCUUAUGUCCUACUCAUCCCUGCCUUUUUGACUUGACAGCCACCAAAUUCUACCUCAUGUACUCCACCGCCUCCUUUUCUGACCUCUUUGAUGCCCUAAACUAAAACACUGAAGCAAGGCCAUCCAAGGUGCCCUUCUGCCUAGCGUCAUGCACUCUAUAGUACACUGGUUUUGUGUUGGAAAUUAGUAGUCUUAGCGAGGCCAGAGAUUUGCUCCAUCUCAGUCGCUGACCAUAGCUUUGAUGCAAUAAAGAAUACCUAAAAUAUAUGAAUUUUGGGUAACAAAAUGAUUUCAAGGUGUAUCUUGAAGUUGCAUCGAGGUCCUCUUUUUUUCUUGCUUAUGGUUUGACCCUCUAAACAAUUGAAGAUAUAUCAUGGGUUUUGUCCUUUUGGUUAUCCUCUAUUGCUUACCGUGUUUAUAAGAUAGGAGGUUCGGCUCUUUAGCUCUUGCUGAAGAUAGACCAUCGGAUCUUUAUGCGGUGCUUAUUAUUACUGUUUCACCAGUACUAUUUUACUAGGCUCAUUGCUGAGACGAGUUGAAUGUGCUCCUUUUGCUGAUGUGGAGAUGAUCAGUUGGCUGUUCAGGUGCUUUUUUGUUAGCACAAAACUACUACAGCUCAUUCUCCUUGUUGGGUCUUCUUUGUACCUGGUCCUUCUCCUGUCACAGUUUUCUGUGUUUCUGGGAAAUCUCUUGGCAUCAGUUGAAUAAUUGCUUCUUUGGAAGUUAAAAAGUUAUGCCCUCUCCAGUUCUAGACCCUUAGCAAUGACACUUGGUGUCUGUUAUUUGAACCUUUUGUGACUUACGAACUGUGAAAUUGGUGAGCUGCUGUUGGUACAUCUGCUUAUUGCUUGAAGAAAGAAAAUGAUGAUAACCUUUGAUUGUCACUUGCAUAUUUGUCUUACUUGGCUUCAUGAAUCUUCACUAAUAUUUACUCUCGCAUAACAGGUCGUAGCUACAAAUAUUUGAAGAUCUUUAUUGGUGAUUUCCAGUUAUGUUCCCUGCUUUUGUUUGAGAUUCUUUGAGGUGAUGACGGAUGCCAACUCAUCAUUCUCCGGAGGUGCUAAGUUGCAGCCAAGUACAAGCAUGAAUACUGAUUCAUUCAUGCGUGUUCCAGCCUCCCCAAUAUCAUUUUCAUCAAAUAACAUCUCUGGCUCUUCAGUCAUUGAUGGUUCAAUUGUGCAGCAAAGUCCACCCCAAGACCAGGUGCAAAAGCGGAGGUCUUCAAGUGUAACAUCACAUCCUAUGAUUGAGGCUGGUGGUGCAUUGCAUGCUCAAAAGAAAUCAAGAAUUGAUGUUAGGCAAGGUGAUAUACUGCAGCAGCAGCAGCUGAUUCAGCAGCUGCUCCAUGGUCAGAGCUCACUUCAUCUUCAGGGGCAACAUGCUUGGAUCCAGCAGCAAAAACUGGCACAGAUGCAGCAGCGGCAGCAGCCGCAGUUGUUGCAACCGUUUGCUCAGAUACAACAAUCUCAAAUCGGCAUCCCUCGUCAGCCUCAGCUUAGGCCACCACUAGCACAGCCUGGAAUGCAGCUAGCUGGACCUGUUAGGACUCCUGUUGAUAGUGGGCUUUGUUCCCGCAGGCUAUUGCAGUAUUUGUAUCACAAACGUCAUCGUCCAGAGGUACGUUUCUGCAUUGUAUACACUGUUCAUGGGAUUAUGAGAUGCAAGUCCUUACAAUUUACUUGCAUGCUGUCUUGUAGAAUAAUCCCAUAACAUACUGGAGGAAGCUGGUUGAGGAAUAUUUUGCACCACGCGCAAGAGAAAGGUGGUGCGUUUCUUCUUAUGAAAAGAGAGCAAAUGGUUCCGUUUCUACCCCGCAAACAGCUCUGGUUAGUUAACAGUUUACACUUCACAGUGGCAAAUUUACUUGCAAUUAUAUUGUUCUUGGUUUUGUGGUCCAUGUCAAGCAUCACUUUCUGUCUUAUAUCAAAAUAAGAUUGAUUAGCAUCUUCUUUAAACUUCUGUUUGGAUCUUUGAACACCACAUUUAAUUUAGUAAAAUUCUUUUAAUGGUUGCAGUAGCUAAAUAGAAAAAGCUAAUUCUUUUUGCUGCUGCACAUGCCCAGUUAAUGUGAAGGAGAAUGUUCCUUGCUUUUUUUAAAUUAUUACAAAAUUUGAUGGAUAGAUUCAUAUAACGCUUCAUAUUAUCCUAUUUUAUCCAUUACAGGAUUCAUGGCGGUGUGACAUUUGCAAUACAUAUGGUGGGAAAGGAUAUGGUUAGUUAAUUUCUGUCAACUCUGCCUUACUGUAUUCCUGAUGCUCUUUUCAUAUUCAAAAUUCUAAUUUCCUUUGUUCCUCUUUGAAACUUGUGAUCAUUUGUUAGUUGUUUGCCAAACUCUACACUUUCCAUGAAUAUCUUGUGGUUUACAAAAGCCUGUACAGAUGCAGGCUGGAACAAAGAUGUAUAGGCAUCAAGAAUUGAUAAAAGUUAUCUCUUGUAUAUAUGCUGAGUGGUCUCCAUUGUACCAUGCACAUGCAUUUGAUAUGUGAAUGACUGAUCAGCUACAAACGAAUAUCAUUUAAAACGGCAUGGUGGCAUCACAUUUUUUUAGUACCUUUUCAUAUUGAUGAAUCUGUAGUAAAGCAAGAUUAGCUACAACGUUGUGCUAUCUACUUGUCAUUUGUGCACCAUGCGAGUACUGUUGCCAUAAUAUAGACGCACAGCUUAGCAUCUCUUGUUCAACUAGCUUUCUGAUUUGGUACUUGUAAAAAUUGUAAUACAAGCAGCAUCUCUUACUCAGUUAAUUCUUUUUUAUGUCUAAUCCAUCUGACAGAGGCUACCUAUGAAGUUCUUCCUAGACUAUGUCAAAUUAGAUUUGAUCAUGGUGUUAUAGAUGAAUACCUAUUCCUCGACAUGCCCAAUGAAUUCCGGUUGCCUAAUGGAUUAAUGCUGCUGGAGCAUACAAAAGUUGUUCAAAAGAGUGUUUAUGAGCAUCUACAUGUCACACACGAGGGGCAUUUGAGAAUCAUAUUCACACCAGAAUUAAAGGUAUGUUGCUUCGUAGCUCGCUCACACAUUUGCGAUUUUUGUAGCAUGUCCAUGUUAUGUAUAUCAUUUGUAAACAUAGAAAUGAUCCACAAGCAAGGGGUUAUAACCAUUCUUAUCUAUCUUUUGCCUAUGAAUUACGUAGAUCAUGUCCUGGGAGUUCUGUUCACGACGACAUGAAGAGUAUAUCACCCGCAGGGUUCUGGCACCACAGGUGGAGUUCAUGGACCAGCGCACUCUUCCGCUUUAAUUUGGCUACAAAUUUGUUAAUUUAAGAUUUCCCCUUGCCUAGCUAUAUAGUAAUGUAGUUACUUUUUAGGGCAUAGUGAAUUUGUUAUAUAGUUAUUGCUCCACAACCUAGGUCUUAGGUGACAAAUCAUAUAUGAUGUGGCAUAAAUCUAAUUAUUAUAUGACAACUUUGUUGGAUCCUUCAUAAUUGAGUAAAAAGUGCUGUUUCUGUCACAACUAGAUCUCUUCCACAAACUAUUUUGAUUCUUCAUUUUUCAUUGAUGUACUGGAGUUCAAAGCUGGUUCAUAAACCCCAGAGAGGACCAAACCUUUUUAACCAUAAACCAUUCUCGUUGCAUUUAAAUUCUAAUAUGUACUCUUUAAGGGCAUUCCGUAAAUGCAUAUUCAUGUUUAACUUAAGUGUAACUAUCAUUGAUGAAUGGUGCUUAUAUUUUACAUGCGAUUCUGCAUUUCAGGUCAAUAAUCUGCUACAAGUUGCCCAGAAAUACCAAGCUGCUGCCAGUGAAAGUGGUCCUGCUGGGGUUUCAAACAAUGAUGCACAAACCAUUUGCAACAUGUUAGUGAAUGGACUAUGCUUCACUGCUGUAUCGUCCAUUGUGUAUCUUUUGCCAUGAUAAAUAGAAAAACAUGUAUCUCAGAGCAAUCAUGUUUUUGAUCUCACUAAAGCAAGGACACCAUUUUAUUUCUUGUUUCGUUAGGUUUGUGACUGCAUCGCGGCAACUAGCGAAGAAUCUGGAGCACCACACAUUGAAUGAACAUGGUCUUUCUAAACGAUAUGUUCGCUGCCUGCAGGUAAUAGAGGCUGUUCCCGUCGCAUUAUGUACUUAUUCAAUAUUAUCCCAUAAAUCCUGCUUAGAUUUUGGUGCACUAUGUAAGUAUCUGUCUGUCCGUCCUAUCGUCCUCUUGUACAUUCAUAUGCAUCAAGCACACUGAUGAUCAUCUGUCCUUGUCAGAUAUCGGAGGUGGUGAAUCAUAUGAAGGACUUGAUCAAGUUCACCAACAAGAACAAUCUUGGUCCUAUAGGUAUGGUCAUGCACACUACCUAUCAUUGUCUUCAGCUUAUACCCAGUUGUAGCUGUGUUUGUGAAUAAUUUUUCUGAAGUAGGUUCAUGUCCUUUUUUUUUGCUCACUGUUUCCAUGAAGAUGGUAGGUCAUAUUAUUAAAAUGAUAAGCCUUCUGUAGAAAAGUUAAUUGGUUGUUCAAAUUCUGUUGUAUAAGCAAAACCCACAGCACUAGAAAUGACAGUUGAACCAUCAAGGGACAAACCCAGCUGAUGCUAUAUGAUAACUUGGUAAACUCAGUUGUUUUUGGACCUAAUGAAGCGGCAUAUUAUAUGUGCUCUUUGAUGCAGUUCAUUUGUUUUUCCUGCUGAGAGCAGCAGCACAUUGAACUAUAUGACACGGAAGGUAGCAAGACAAUAAUAGAUUAUCAGAAUGCAGUACCAUUCUUGAUAUAAGUAGCACUUCCUGCUUACCCCAUCAACCUUCGAUGUCCUUUUAAUGUGCUCUGUGUUCAUAUGCAGAGGGCCUGAAGAAUUAUCCAAAACCAAAUGUACUGAAACUUCCAGGACAGAAUACACAUGAGGCAAAACAAAUAAUGGCUGCUGCUGGCCUUCCCAAUGACCAGAACACCACCAAAGCCAUGGGUGUCAAACAAGAAAUAAGGGCUCAUGUGGACAACAUAACUUCUGGCGUUGGAGCUGUUGGUAAUUGUGCUCCACAGAAUUCUGCAGCACUAAACAGUUACCAGAAUAUACUCAGAAGCUCCAGUGCAAAUCAGAGUCUGCUUCAGCAAGAGGCGUCAAGUGUUUUCAAAGGCCCUGCAGCAAUGCACAAUGGCAUACAGCUGGAAGCAUCUAGAUCGUUCCGUGGACCUAACCAAGUGCAGCUCACACAGUUCCAACAUUCUGUGUCAUUUCAACAUCCAAUGCCCCAGCAUAACAAUGUCCAGGGUCUGGGAAUGCAAAAUAAUCUCCAGGGCUUGGGAGUGCAAAAUAAUCUGCAGGGUGUGAACCCACAAUAUCAGCAGCAUGUUUUCAAUCAGCUGCUUCAAGAAGUUAAGAACACUAACAACCAUGCUUUGGUGCAACAACCACCUCCAGAUAACCCUAACGUAAACAGUGGUCUCGUAUCCGGAGCUGCUAACACCAACAGUGCUGCUACUGGAGAGCAGGCACAGCAUAUCAAUAACAGCACCGCGAAGGGUGCUGCUACAGUUGGCACCGAGCCGAGCAAUGUGAUCAACAACAGCACAGCCAGCAUCAUCCCCAGCAGAAGUAACAGUUUCAAGUCAGUAAGCAGCAAUCCAGCAGCUGCUACUGGAGGCAAUGCCGCAACCUCCAAGGCAGAGCCCUUCCAUGAAUUGGAGGAUCUCGACAAUCUAAUUGCCAAUGAACUGGUGGAAAGCGGGCUGUUCAUGGGGGACCAAGGCGGUAACGGCUUCUCGUGGAACAUGUGAUAGGAGUACAUAGACGUCUCACUGCUCUGUGAGCUUCACUGUAAGCGUUGAGCAACAGCCUACUUGGCUGCUAGUGUGGAAACUAGCGAGUGGUGAUGGAAAGUUGCCCUAGAUUCUAGUUUUCUCUCGUUUCCUUGUCCUUUUGGAGUUCUUGUAUUGCCGUUACUGAUGACCAUACUCUGAUGUAACUUCAGAUGUGAGUUGGAUCUGUCGUGGGGAUGUGAAAGCAGUAAUCGGUAGUUACUGGAAUAUAUUGUUUUCGCGCUAUCGAAUGUAUUGCUGUGAUUGUCACAUUAUGUCAACCCAAAGUCUUCAUCAAAAGAACUUCGUGCUACGAUCCAGCUUUGAUCUGUUUGGUGCAAGCCCUAGGUAGUUACCAAACUUUAUCUACCAUCAAUCAACCGUUGUUUUCUAGUGGUAGGUGGUAUAUGUUUUGAGCGUUCAAAUUGAGUCAAGCAGUCACAGUCAACCAUUGCUUUCUAGUGGUGAGUGCUUUGUUUUGAUGUUAGUAAGUACUCUCCAUCCUGAAUUGUAGUUCAUUUUAGCUUUUCUAGAUAUAUAUAAUUUUUAUUAUGCACCUAGAUAUAGUAUGUUUAUAUACGAACCUAGAAAAGCCAGAACGACCUAUAAUUUGAAUAAUUUGAAAUGGAGGGAGUAGUGUUCGUGUUCUAGUGUUGAUGUACCUUCUUUCAUAAUUUUACCAGCACUCGUUGUAAUGAUUGUUUUAUGACAAUUGUUUCAAAACAUGAUAUAACCCGAGGUUACUGAAGAGCUGCGCUGAUAGCGAUAGUGAACAUAUCUUUUCCUCGCUGGAAAAGAUGAGAAUUAGAACUAAGGUUCACAAUUCACACUGAUUUACAAUAGACCAUCCUUCGAUGCCAGGGUAGGGCAUAUGCAGGAGCUUCAGUAAUGACCAAUGUUUUAUGAACCCAUCACGUCAUGGGCAUAGUAUGAAGCGGCCAAGCAGGCGUACUAUAACCUUGAUGAUCGAAGGAGCGCAUUAGGUACGAACUCUAUGGAAAGCAGUUCAUCAUAUCAUAUCAAAGUAAUUACCAAUUUAACCAUAGAAUCUCACUAUUUUUGUGCCACCAAGAGAUCACGACAAGGGUCCACCAGAUGAUAUCAAGUAACCGCCCCACCACAGAGUUCACCAGAUAACUAGAUUCUAUGUUAUCAAGAAGUAACAACCACAAGAGUUCACCAAGUUCUGUGCCACCAAGUAACCACCACAAAACUCACCCUUCAGCUAUCAGAGCUAGACAGAGCAGUUAGAUCAUAUUGAGGUUACAAAUACAAAAGACGAACAACAAAUAUUGCAAGUGUUGUCACCCACAAGAAGAAAGUCACAACCACGAACCAGAAAGCAAAACUGUAGUCCUGCAAGAAAUAAAACAACAUUUACAUCUUCAGUCAAGACAAAGCAGAACUUAGUAGAUAUUAUUCAUUUUCAGCUAUUAGAAUUCAAUGCUUGCAUGCUUCUUUAGCUGUUCCUCAACUCGUGUAUAUGUACUUACCGAAGAGGUAUUCAUGCCUCUCACUUGAGUAGCGGCAGCUGCAACCGCCUUGGUGAUUUCCUCCUCUACCGCGCCGUGGGGUGUGCUCAGCGAUCCCGCCUGUAUGUCAAUCAUAUAUAAAUCAAUCUUUCCUUUCCUUUCCUUGAGAUAAGAAUAAGUCUAACCCCAAUGCACUAAUGGAGAAGAGAAUAGAAACACCAAACAGAAAGGAGAAAAAAACUAUACACCAUUACCAUCUAGGCAGUAUACUAAGAGCAAACUCACCCAAGCAUAAGUAUUUACUACUAAAAACAAGUUCACUGUGCCUAUAAUUGAACAUCUGCUUGAUGCACUGUAUGGAGCUACUAUAUUAAAAAAUUGGACAUGAGAUUAGGAUAGACCAGAUAAGAAUGCAAGAAGACAUUCCUAAGACUACGUUUGGAACACGCCUAGACCAUUAUGAAUACACUGAUGCCCUUUGACAUAAUGCCACCUGCAACUUUUUAAGCACUAAUGAAUACCAUUUUUGCAGAUCAUCUAGGCAACUUCAUAUUGGUAUCCUUUGAUGACAUACUAAUUUUCAAUUUUUCAACAAUAAUCCAAUUGAAACUUGGAAGUAGCAAAAUUCCUUUGAACGUGUUGAAAUAACAUCGUCUCAAUGCUAUCCUGUGCUACAAGCUGAGCAUCUAGGCCAUGUGAUAAGUGAUGCUGGUGUGUCAACUGAUCCAAGCAAAUUUUCUAACAUUGUGCAGUGGCCUAAGCCAAUUAAUGUGACCCAAUUUGGGGGAUUUCUUGGGCUUACGGGAUACUAAAGAAACUUUGUCAAGGGAUAUGGGCAAAUCUGCAAGCUCCUAUUUGAUCUCCUGAAGAAGAAAUUGAACAGGGUCCAGCUCAAACAGCAGAAUUUGAUAAGCAUGGGAGGGUUAUGAAAAUUGACAACUUGCCCAGUUUCUGGCCCUUUUAAACUUCAGCAAACCUCAUUUUGGAAACUAAUGCCUGUGGGACUAGCAUUGAGGCUUUGUUGAUGCAAUGUGGUCGACCAAUAGCAUACUGUAGCAAGAUAUGGGAGAAAAAGGCACCUGCCUAAAUGUACUUAGGGCAGCUCUAGUGUGUAUUUGAUUUGAGAAUUGAAAGUUCGAUGGCUCCAGUGUGAACACUGAUUCCUGGGCCCAUAUAUCAAAUAAAAAACUAUCCAUGCUGUUCCCCUCUCCUGGCUCCUGCCAUGCUGCGGCCUGCAUGGGCUCAGAUAUCCCUGCAUCUCUGUUACAUUAUUUUAUUCUCUCAGUUUGCACCGUAUUGGGAAGCCGAUUUUGAUUCUGGCACAUAACAGUAGGAUGCUCAAGGCUCUAGUGUGCAUGGUCAAGCUUUAAAGAAGUGGCGACAUUAUUACUAGUUGGGAGUUAAACUCAUCAUUAACACGUACCGCCAAAAUCUUAAAUAUAAUACUACACAAAAACUGAUCGAUCGGAUACAACAUAAGUUGUUACUCAAAUUGUUGGAGUUUGACUGUUCAAUAGAAUACAGGAACGAAAAAGAGGACAUGGAGUAGAUUCUAUCGAUGAUAAGUAAAUGGAAUAAAACAUAUGUUGCUACCAUGUAACUACACCAAGAUUUGUCAGUGCUCAAGAAAUCAGGUGCAGGAAUGGAGAACUUCCUAACAUUCAGGCAAAACCGCGGAGUAGUCUGUUAGCAUCGGCGGGAAGGAACAGAAAACUCAGAACUCACUUUAUUAGAGAUGUAAAAUGAAGAUCGGAAGUCCACCGUCCACUUUUUGAGAAAGAUAACAUCGUUACAAGUUACUGCGUAGUCAAACGGCUGUAAUCACUCAGGAUUUUACUGUAAUUUCUUCCACGUUUCUGUAAAAAUAAAGGACAAGACCGCGCUAAUUUAGUUGUCUCUUCAGCUGAAGAAUAGGCCUAUCUCUAGCUAUGUUCGUCAAUUUUUCCCAUUAAAUUAUCCCAAACCGAAUGCAAAUUCAGAUCCUAGCACUGCAGGGUAUGACAAGGACACAAGCCAGAAGGUGGUGUAUGCCAGCGGCGGACCUGAAUAACAUCAAUGCAAUCUGUUAAUCAUACUUACACCGGAGAUGACGAGGACGGAGAGGGUGGCCACGGCGGCCGCGAUGGCCAACUUCUCGACGUCCUGACUGCGCACGGCGAGGUUCUUCCGGGAAACAUCGGCGAGGCAGCUCCUCACGCUGUUCGCCACGGUCUCCCCGGCAUCCUCGACACUCAGCAGACCUCCAGGCAUGAGGAGGUCCUGGACCAGCUCCCUCGCCCUCGCGGCGACCGCCUCCACGAUGACGGCAGGCUCCGCCUCUUCCGACGCCAUCUGCGACAAAAACCCCCGUUACGGACACGAAAUGCCAGCGAACGGAGUGAGAAUCAGUGAAGGAGGGACACGGCGGCAGAGCGACGUAGCCUCGUCGCGCCGCUCACCUGCGAAGCAAAGCGACGCUCGCCGGCGGUGAGGGGGUCGUGCGGCGGCUCGAGCGUGAAGGCGGUGGCGACUUGGUCUGGGCCUUCCCGGAGACGGCGGCGGCGUGCGAUCUUUUGGUCUGGGUCAGUUGCUGUCGGAGAAGAAGGCCGUGGAGGGCCCAAAUAGGAAGCGCAGCGGGCCUUAACGGGCCAGGAGCUGGAGGUGAUCGGCCCGCGAUCAUAGGUUUAUUUUGUUCUUCAACCUUUUCCCUUUCUAAUCCCUGUUACGAAUUCACUAAUUUCUAAAAGUAAACAAAAUUAUAUGAUAUGGUACUUCAUCAUGCAUUAUACAACUAAUAACUGAUUCAUUAUUUUUCAAAGCUAGUACAAGGUGGUAUAUCAUAUCAGCAUUCUAUAUGAAAUUUGUUAGAGGCACCUCUCAUGUACAUUGAACAUUUCUAAAAGGUAUUCAAAGAAUGUACAAAAGCUAAUUCAAAAUUCAUAAAAAUAUUUCAAAAGUUUUACUUUAUGUUCAAAACAAAAAAUUAAAAUGCUAAAAUAGCGUAUCAAAAUUGUUGAAAUAUAUAGCAUUUUGGAUCUGUUAACUUUAAUUCAAAAUAAAUUAACGUUUAAUAUAGUUUUGUUGUGCUAAUUUUAAACAACAUUGUGGUUUAAACGAACUUAAAAUAGAUUAAAGUUUUAAGAAAAAAUACAUUUGAAAUUUGAUACGCAAACUAGCCUUCUACCGGUGGAUGUAAAAGUUACAUUGCUAAAACCUAGCAUCUGGAUCGAACAGCUAAUAUGCUUAGGUGUUGUAUAGAUGCUUACAAUUUUAUUUACCCAUCGACACCAAUGCAUAAAUCUAGUGAUAAUGGAAUGCAACAAGUUCUUAGACCGAAAGAUCAUCUUUAUAAGCAAUAUCUUAGGGAGACCGAUGGAACACUUGAACAAAAGCCAAAUAAGAGGAUUAUGACAUGUUUGGUUCACAUUCAUAUAGUUCAACACUUUAUCACAUUUUAUUUUAAGUUGGGCAAAGCUAGUUUAACGUUCUUGCAUUGAGAUCCAUGCCACAGAUACGCGAUAUCAGUGAUGGGUAAAAACAGGAUUCGUCACUUUCCAAAGAAGACUGGUGCGUGUACACCCACUGCACCGUGGAGGCGGAACAAGAAGGGGCUUGAUGCCAUUUUUCAUGAUCCAGCUUCGAUCGGCUUGGUUGCAGUGAUCUCCAUGUAGCUCCAAUACUUCAUCUGCCUUGUACCCACCGUACCAUUGCGUCUUAUGGUGCUGACUUGUUCCCCAAGUGCUUGCUCCUGCACCUGCUCCCGCUCCCGCUCUAGCCACCUCAGCUGCUAUCUCUAGAUCUGCUCUGCCUUGAUAUAACACCGACGACAUGUUUUGUAGAUUUGGUUUUGCAACCGUAAUACUGCUCCACUUCGGACUCGACGAAUGGAAAGAUAACUCGCCGUGUGUGCAUGAUGGCUUCCACAAAAAGUGGGAAGUCGAGUCCAUUUGAUUCUGUCUUGGUUGUCGUGCGGAAUACAAUAAGUUUAUAUGAUGGGCAAAAAUGAAUAUAGUCAAAUAUGAAAAUAAGUCCGCUAGCAACCUAACAUAAACGGUGGGUUCUCCCGAUAUCCUCACAAGACUCACAUUAGAAUUUGGUUAACAUUCAACAAUAAAAAUGAAAAAAACAAGGUGGAGGAGGAAGAACCCUGACCUAAACAAUUAAUGAAAAAUAAGUCCACUAGCAACAUGACCUAAGCAGUGGGUUUUUCGACACUCACAAGACUCAACGUUACGACAUCUCACGUUAGAAUUUGGUUAACAUCCAACGAUAAAGAUGAGAAGAAAAAAAGACCGAGGAGGAAGAACCCGGACCUAAACAGUUAAUGAAAAAAAAACAUGUUGGGUGGUCUCGUCACCACUUGCGGAAGUGGAAGAGAACCACGACCACAGUAUACGCCAGGGCGCCCGCGACCCCGAUGGGGACGUCGAGCUCGCGCUCACGGUUGACGGAGCAGACGGACCAGGUGAGGAUGCCGAUGGUGAGGCCGAGCGCGAGCUGGAGCGUGCACUUGGCCCAGGCCACCGAGCUCGGGGACCUGUCGAACGAGGUCGCGAGGAGGCGGACCAGGAGCACGAGCGCGAGCACCACCAGCACGCCGUGGGCGACGAUCAGGUACCCGUCGCCAGGAGCAGCUUGCUUCACGACGGGGAACGCCGGAGCGGCGGCAGGCGCCGCAGAGCGACAAGAGCAUGUUGGUGUAUUUGGCCGCAGGCGCAGAUCCGCUCUGAAAUAUAAGGGAGGAGCAAGCUCAGAGUUUGUAUUAAUUCAAAAGUAUUCUAAUUUUAAACACUACCACAUCAAAGAAGUAGACUCUGAAAAAUACGUUUCAUAUUUGAUCUAAUUAUGCCUAUUUGAUACCGUGAAUACUAUUGAACUUGAUCAGACUCAGAAUAGUUUAACUACGGAUGAACUCAAAAAUCUAUUAUAUUUCAGGAUCGACUGAGAGAGUAUAUUUUUAGAAACGGACGUGUGUUUUAAUACAAACCACAUGUACUUAUCGAUGCAUUAGGUUCUGCAUUAUCUGGAACCGGCGGUAAUUGUCCACUUGGUCAACAACAUUUAGAGAACAAAACAACCUCGAAUGGAACCCCAGCUAAGCCAAGCCAAACUCGAUCACCCCCACUGCUCCUCUCUAGCUCGAUGAUCUUGGCCCAAAGUGUUUCAUUCUACAGCGUUUAAUAUAGCGAGUGGCCUGACAACUAUGGUUUUAUUUGGACUAUAAGUUCACUGCCGGAUUGCACAUGCAUUCGGGGGGUGUAGACGACGCUGGAAAUGGAGUAGGAGCCGGUGGUGGUGGUUCCUCAUCGUCUGCGGCGGUGGAGCUUGUGGAAUGAGGCGUGGUGGCUCUCUCCUCUCCAAUGUUGGUCGGAGGACUUGGAGGAGUAGCAGCUAGCAGAUGAAGAUCGAUGGACUUGGAUGCCAAGGCAAUCCCUCACAGUCGGAGCUGUUGGUGUGGUGAUGACCGGGUUUUCAAUUUGGAUCGAGCUUGCCGGCCGGCGUCAGCCCUCAAGGCCUCAACUCCUCUCGUCCCCUCUCCUCCCUCUUCCAGUUUUGUGAGAAGAUCCCAAAACACGCUAUUUCCUACGGUAUUUCUUUUUUACUAGCCAGAGCCCAGAGCACUUGGCAGUUGGGAUGGCAGUAAGAAAAAUAACUUCUUACCCAUGCGGGGUCUAUGUGUGUCGUCGUGCUGUUCAAUUUAUAAGAAGAAGCUUCGAUCCUUAAGAAGAAAGCAACAGCAAUACCUGUUCAUAUCACUGUCUACACCAGGGGGUUCAAAACCUAGCUCAGCAACGUGUCCGUCGGCAACGAAGCGCCUUACGAUGACUUACAUCCACCUCAAAAUCUGCCAGACCAAUUCCUGGUAGCCGUUCACAGGGGUGCAAUGUACGUGGAAAAGAAAAGGAGUUCAAACUAUGCCUGAGAAAAAAGAACGAACAGGUUUCCCAAAGGACGAAGGAAAACCAGAUGCCAUCUCUUCCUUAGGAGGUUGGUAAUUACCUUUUCUGGGCAUUCCUUGCAGAUUGUUCUUUUAUCCCCUGGCACGGCUAAGCUGCAUGCCUUCUAAGUCAGAAAAGGAAAUGUAGAAGAGAAAGACAAGUGAGGAGAGGGGAACAGAACAGCACACGAUCAUGCCCAACCGGUGUAUUGUUCCGGGCAUUUUCUUAAAGGAAGUUGACACAAAGCCACUUUGUUAAAUCAUUCUAUCCACACGGCACUUUUUUUUUUGUGCUUCUGGAAUUUUAUGAAAGGGGAAGUGCCGGAUCCGGAGCACCGCCACUGUUAACAAGGAAAAGAAGGGGAACACGCCGGAGCAGGCCUAUCCCAAAGCUUAGUCGGCGAAAUUUCUUGGUCGCCGGCGACGAUGAAAGGCGACGGCGGCGGCGGAGGAGGAGGAAGGAGGGCGAAGCUUGCGGACGCCAUAUUCCGUUUCUCGCCCUGUUCGACGACCGCCUCCUCUCGGUUUCUCGCUCCGUCCUUCUCUAGCUCCAACUUGGGCCAAUAGAAUACAAACUGGUAUAUACAGUCUUUGCAGAUAUAUCUUAGGCAAAAGCUUGCCCAAGUAGUUGGGGCAAUAUAUGCAAACUGCUCACAGCUAGUAUAUAGAGCAAAAUUUACAGUAAGAUAAUACAAUUAUGCCUAUACUUUUCAUUAUAUUCUAAGAGUGAUUAUACAUUACCAGAUGAUCUCUUCUACCAAAGAUUUAAUAAAAAGUAACUACAGCACGCUAUUUUCUCUAAUUUUUUAAGAUGAUGACUCUUUUCUCUAAAUGUUUGAAAAGAGAUUACAUACUUACAGUUCCAUAGUUCAUAUAAACAGCAUCAUAUCUGUUGUUAGGACAGGCGUCUACUCUUAUAUCAACAAAACAUAUGUUAAGCCUCCUUUAUCUUUCUGGUAAGAGUUGUUCUUCUAUCAUCAGCGAGAGUUUACUUUGCUGUCGAUGCAGGCAAUAAUAGAUAGAUUUCUGUACAUAGUUGGGCCUAGGCUAACUAAUUGCUUUCGCUUGACUCUUCCAGUAAAAAAGUAUACUGAGUGGUUGAAGGAAACGAAGAUCGACAUGAGCUAGAUAUGGAUGUCGGCAAUUAAGUGGAAGGCAUUGUUCAAGAAAAUAGGCCGGGGUCGAUUUCAACAUUGAAUUUCAUAGUAGUUAGAUCCCCGACAAUUAUAUACCUGCUAAUCCGAUGCCCACCCCGCCUCAUAUUGUGCCGGAAUGGUAUUUCCUACCGAUCCAUGCCAUUCUUCGCAGUAUACCUGACAAAGCGGGAGGCAAUUCAAAGGCACUGGAUAGCGAUAGACGUACGAUUUCAAUCAAAGCCAGCCAAUAGAAUUACUCUAUGAAUAUAGCAGCGAGAAAAAGAAUGGCCCUACAAAAUGACUCUCCUUCAUAUUCCAUCUCUUCUUUUAGGAGCAAAACUAUGCUGUUAGAAUCCAAAGCAUGCUUCCGAAGGGAUCAAAUUUGCAAAUAAAGCCAUGAAGUCUUUCAGAAGUCACCCGAUCAAACUAUUUCACUUAUGAUCUGGCCUGGUUGACCCAAUCAUGAUAUUGAAGGAUGGGACCUUUUCUCGAAGGUUGGAAAGUUCUAUUCGUUUAGUACGAGAUCGCUUCACACCUCGCGGUGCUUACACCUCUCGCCUAUCGAAGUUCUGUUCAAAAACAUAACCCAGUCCCUGUGUUUUUGGUUAAGACCACUAGCUCUAACCGGCCUUGGUUUGUUUUUCCUAAACCUUGUUCCUUGUGCAAAUUUUCAAGCAGAUUUGAUUGAUUAGGAUCCCUUCUCUUCUAGGCAAGGAUCCUUUCUCCUCAGGGUUUUCCUAUAGAAAGAAAAGAAUAGGCAAUGAUCUGACUUGGGCGACGGAAUGUGUUUUACAAUAGUUCCAACGUUUGAGUAAUUGAACUUGCUUCUUCACGGAGCUCCACACUUUCUUUUCUUGACUCGCAGCAACAAAUAAUGCAGUAAUAGGUAAUGUUUUUAAUCCUUCCUGAAUUAGUGAUACGAAAAAGUAAACGAAUAAAUGCGGGAAAAGUUGGGGAAAUCAACAGAAAAAGUUCCGUAAUCGUCCUAUUUUUUCGUUGCAUUUCCUUGUUUUUAACGGAAGCGAUAAAUGCGUACUUAAUAUAGUGAUGAUUCCAUGAAUCUCUGAAAAGGUAGGGGUCAAGGACCUUAUGGGACUGCAAUCGUGCCUGCCAAUUGGGUGAAAUUGGCUUUACUAGUCUCCUCUCUGUCUCUUUCCACUUCUGUCUUUCUAGUGCAAAUCUCAUAAGUAGAAAGAAAGCGGUAGUUUGAAGUGAGCCGCGCUCUCUCUUUCGGAAUUCUGCACCUAGGUACCACUCUAGAUUUCUUACUGGCUGACUCAAGUGCUAACUCAUAGUGCAUAGCAUGUUCAUAAGCCUUGUUCACACUAUUCCUGAAAAUUGGUUUCUUCUUUUCAAGAGUUGGGAUUGAAGGAUUUGCUAAUGCCCGACCCUUCUCGACUAGAAACUCUUCCGCUCCUCCGGAUCUUAUUUCGAAGUUCGCAGUGCUCUUGUUCAAUAGACAUUCUGCUGGAACUCACCUUUAUCUUUAGAGAUGAAUAAAUGGGUACUUUACCUUAAAAACUGGGUUGCCCCCUGCCUUCCAAAGGUGCCUAAAGGACGGGCCAGUCUGCAUCGCUAUAGGCAUGGUUUUCCAGAGGCGAGCGGGUCGAGAUGUGAAUGCCAUUACCUUUGAGAUAAGGCAGAACACGCUUUAACGCUGUCCAGUGCAGUGGGCUGAUGCAUAAAAUGCGAUGCCUUGUGAACCGCAAAGGUGAGGCGGUUAUAGAUGCCCUAACAAAACUUCGUAAGAAGAUAUCGCGAGAAAUAGUUGAGGAUCGAACUCUAUCUCAAAAGAGAAAUCGAUGUUUUACUACCAGUCACAAGCUUUAUGUUUGCAUUUAUGGAUAACCAAUUCAUUUUAUUAAGUGUAGGCGCCGGAAUCAUUGUUUCGGUUGCCAUUUUUGCCGCUUAUAAAGCGGGGCAAGUUUUUGGUCUUAGAGAACAAAUCCACGCCCACACAUUGGAUAUUGAGAUUAUAAAACUCAAAAUAUAAUCCCCGGAGGAAGCACUCGUCGUGUCCAUCAGUGCAUCUAAUUCUCCCGUGCUCUCCACAAAGUGUGAAGCUCCUCAGAGUUGGAUCAGAUAGGAAAUCCUCACUUUUCCAAGACAGAAGAGAAGCAAGCAACGGAUUGAGCAACUAGCGCGAAAGCCGUUGCGCUAACGCGCAUUCUCCACCGGCUUAUGUGGUUUAGGAAAGAAAGUAAUUGAGAGUUGCCUUUUGCCAAGGAAGCUAACUCAAAAUAGGUUAGGGUACCCAUUGCUUCCUCUUUCGAGGCUUACUCCUAGAGCGGUAUCUUUUGAAAAAGGUGUCUAGGGAUAGGAGCCGUCAAAGGGCUAGUCAUCGCUAGAAAAUCCGAAACAAGGCUAUCGCUAUCCCGGGGGCUAGCAUAAUAGGAAUCGGGUAAUUCGCUCUUCAUUUCAUAUCUCUACUCAAUUGGCUAGGUUGCCUCCGAGGACCUUAGCGUAGGCCCCUAUGUUAUGCGGCCGUAAUAUUUUUAUACCUUCCACCGCUGUUACGCCAGAAAUCCAAGGUUCCACACGAGCUCCUGUUCUGCGGCGUGGUGGCAGGACCGCUAGGGGAUUGGCUCCGAGUGUAGGUAGGGUCAAAUCCGCAGGGGUCAUGCAAAUACAUAGUCAUUGGCUAGAGAAGUACCGCCAAGCAAAGGGAGAGCAAUCCACGCGGCAUAAGAGUGAAGGUACGUUUGUUGGUAACACAACACAACGAAAGCAAUGAAUUAAAUGGGAUCAAUGCCUAGCAUAGUGGUCUAUUAAAAAUUCAAUUGACUUUGCUAUUUGUCUUUUUUGAACUAUGUUUCAUUCAUAUGAUAGAAUAUGGGUUUAAAUAAAUUGGUUCUUCUCUCGUCUUUCGUACAUCUACAACAUUCCAUUCUACUUACUUUGGUGUAAUGGAAAUGAAACGAGCCUAAGAGCAGAGUAAGUAAGGACUUUGCCUGGUUUGAACUCCAAAGUCAUUUACGCCCUGUAUUUCCUUUGAUUCACACCCACGCUGGAAUUCAGUAGAGUCCCACGAGUCAAUCGACAAAAGCGAGAAACGAGAUAGGCUAGUUCAUUAAGUAAAACCUCUUUUUUGACUGCUUAACUAUUUUCAAUCCUAGCUAGUCUUUCCUACCUUACUUAACUGAAUUGACUUGAGGUACGUACCUACUUCUCGCUAUUGGGUUCUGUUCUUCCUGUCACUCUAGGCUUUCGAAAGGCCGCGGGCGAUUCACACUGCUCGUUGGUCCGUGGCUAGUGCUUUUCUUUUCGCUAAUCACCCAACUCUCAGGCCAGUCCGAAGGGCAUUGAUGGAACACAGACCGGUAAGCUCUUCGAUUAACGCCGUCCGAACUCUUGCUUGAUAGGACUUCCUAUUCUUCACCUGGGCCUGGGGCUGGUACCUUUCCCAGCUUUCUUUCUGGACAGCUAUCUUUGAUUGACGGAGGGCAGCCUGCCGAGUAAUGCCUGAGUCGCAGCAUCAAGGUCUGACCCAAAUUGAGCGAAGGCGGCCACUUCGCGAUAUUGUGCCAAUUCCCAAGCCUAACCAAACCUCCAUGCUCACUGGUACUUUGACGUCACUAUAGGUAGGUCUCCGUGGGUCUUGAGUUCGGCAAGACGACUUCGGUUCACACGUGAAAGUGCUUCGAAAGGCACCGGCUCCCAAUGGUGAAAUUCUUGCUGAAAGCACAGCUACGUGCUGGCACUCAAUCAAGUAGUAGCGCUGGCACGUCACUCGGCUCCUCGGCUAUUUCUCCUUAGGCGCAUGUCUCAGCAACACAAAACGAGGGUUUCGCUCGUUAUAGGACUUGACCAAACAUCUUUGAUAAGCUAAAGUAGUGUAGUAAGGUUUAAUCUCUCAAUAAGAGAGGAAAAGAAGGUCUAGGAGAAAGCUGGCUAGCAAAAACUAGGAAAGGGGGGCUGGCAGUAGCCGUUCAAGAAAUGUAUCGGGUUGCUCGACCAAAGCCGGUCAAAGAAUCGAUUAUAGAUCGAAUCCUUUUUAUAAGCAAUACCGCUCCGUUAUUGGUAUGUUUAUGUUCUAUAGUAAACGGAUCAAAGGGAUAUCCUCUGGCAUUAGAUAAUAUUCAUCUUGACAAGAAAUUAUCUAUAUGUUAAGAUAUCUCUGACAACAUUCCUAUCUAUUGAUAGAAAGAUCUUCGUCACGGACUUUGCCUUAGACUGACGGAACAAAGCUAAGAAGUAGGCUGAAUGGAAAAAGGAAAGGGACAAGGGCGGUCGUCGCUUGGCGCGAGUGAAAACCGGUGCUAAGAGCUGGAGAUUAUUAUCUAUGAGAGAGAACUGCUUGGCCCACGAAAAGAGGAAGACAAGUUAUGUAGGCAGUAGCCGUUCAAGAAAUGCAGCGGUUGCGCCUUUGACACUUCCUCCAGGUGGAGUUGAUUAACACUCUCAUGGUUGGUCGAUGGAAAUAGCAAGACGAGACAGACAUGAUAAUCUCCCCCUGCCUUCCAAAGGUGCCUAAAGGACGGGCCAGUCUGCGUCGCUAUAGGAAAUAUGUACCAGUUUCCUGAAACUAACAAAUAGAGUUAUAGCUUUGAUUGACUUACUAGCUUACGGGAAUGCUUUGAAUCUCAACUUACUUUUUUAGAGGGGGGGAUUACUACUGCAUGGAAGGAUGGUAUACUGGAACGCAGGUGUUCUUACUCUUUCUCUGGUACCUGAUAAAAUAGAGUUGGCUGACUAUAACAUGGAAGGCCCCAAGCGUCGCCUUGAAAAUUAUGUGGAAGAGUUCCGGGUGUCUUGUUUAGUUUGUUUGGCCUUGACCGUCGAUUAGCCAAGUCAUGAAUUUACAUUUUUUGUGCUUUUGGCUUCCGGUUACCAGAAAAGGGACCUUCGCCCUAUUAUCUUUCUAGGCUUAUUUCAAUAUAACAAAUCUGCCAAUCCCGAUAUUCCCACAUUUCAUUCUGGUCCAGUGUCCAUUCCUGAAUGAAAGAAAUGAGCUUUUUUCUGCGCCCCUUCCUCUUUAGAGGGGUUACAGGGCUAUGCUCCUUCCAAGAGGGAAAGUGGGGCGAUUCUUCUUCCUGUAAAGUUUCGUGUUCACAUCCAGUCUUCUCUGUACACUAGUGCUGCUUCCAGUUCUAUGCUAUGUAUGGUAGUCGUUUGACUCGGGAAUCCCUGAGCCCAGCUUUUAGUCCGUGCCUGGCAGUUUCAGCCGUGGUCCAGUCCAGCAGCCUCUUUUCGAUCCAAGAGUCGCUGAAAAAGCUAAAACUUCCUUGUCUUCAACUAUGAACACUGAAGCUUCCACUCCCAUAUGGGCAAGAAGAGCUCCUUCUCUUUUUGCCAAAGCAAAGACUCGCCUCCCCUCAAGAUGAGAAAAUCCCUUCAUCUAGGCGGGCGCCCAUGCCUACUCUUCAUUUUCCAAUAGUGCCAGGACCUGUGUUCCAUAUCCAUUAUCUUUUCCUUGUCCUUCUUGUCGAAUAGAAAGCAAAUGAGCAAAAAACUAAUCUUAAACCCAACAAGUGCUCUCCGCUUCGCUGGGCUUUACCCGCGUGGACGCGGGCUUAUAUAUUCUAUAAGAGAAUGAAAAGCUCUCUCUUUACAAUAAAACGCUGGUAGUAGUAUGAUUAGAAAAACCGCACCCCCCUCUAUUCCCUAAGAAAGCAAAUGAUAAGUCGCAAUUUAUCACCAUAUUACCCGCUUCCAAUUGAUGACUGGCUAAUAUAUAAGUGUUGACCUAAGCCCCUGUGCAGUGGCUCGGCUCCCGAACCGUACGUGAGCAGCCUCGUACGGCUCUUCCUAAGAAGGUCGAAGCCCCUCUCUAUAAAAAAGUUCGUUUUGUGUUGCUGAGACAUGCGCCUAAGGAGAAAUAGCCGAGGAGCCGAGUGACGUGCCAGCGCUACUACUUGAUUGAGUGCCAGCACGUAGCUGUGCUUUCAGCAAGAAUUUCACCAAAAUGUUUGAAUGAUCGGGUAAAGAGCGAGCUUCUUAUAUGGGAUCCGACGCAUCCAGCAGAGCGAAGCAGCGUUCCAUUCUUUUCGGCGGCAUCCUUCCGCAUUGGCGGCGAGUGGAGUGCCACAAUCCUAUUCAUCAUUUUUGAUCUACAUAACCCAAAGCCCAUAGCACUGGCGACAUCUCCGGCAUAAAUGCAAGGAGCCGUUUUUUCGCAAGGUACGAGGAGAAGUAUGACGGCUUGAAUUGGCGGUACUAGUUCUCGAAAAGAAAAAGGCUCAUCCGGCUAAGAAGAGAUGAAUUCCUACAGCAACGUUAUACUUCUUUUAUACGAUCUUCCCUCUUUCUCCACAACAAAACUAAAAACAAACAAUUCAAAUGACUACUUUAGAGUCCCCUCCUCUUCUGUGUCUACUUUAGCCAAACCUUUAACAUAAUUUUUCAUUUAUGCCCAUACAAAAAGGGACAACAGGUUUUGCCCAUUGGUUCAAAGAAGUAUUAAAAUUUCCUUGGAUGUGUAUUAUUCUUCUGGAUUUGGUCGGAAAUAAAUGACUAUACUAUACUAGACUAGACUAGAAAUUUCUAGUAGCGAAGGCCUGCUUUGUCUCAACGAAAGCUUUUUUGUAUGAAAAGGAAGAAAGCCGAGGGGAGAGAACUAAAAGAUAACUCAAGCUAGACAGAAAGGUGCAAAAGUCCAGUUGAAUCUUCCCGUUCUGACUUAUUGAGUGUAUAGAUUCUUUUUGAAAUGCAAUCUAUUUCUCGAUAACCUCCUGGGGUAAAGUUCCUAUUUUCAAGUAUUGCAUCCAAGUAUUAGGAAAGGCUUCUAACCGCCUUUGCAAAAAUUCGGAUCGUGCAGUGGAUGUGUCGGGUUCGAAACUUGCUCCCCCACGUCCUGAGGACAGAAAUUCUCGCUUAGCGCCCUGGGGAAGACUUCUAGACUGCUGUGGGAGCUCGAAGGAAGCAGAAGCAAAACCUGCUUUCUUUCUGUCCCAACCACUUUAGUUAUUCCCUUUUCCAAUAGUCAUAUGGUCCUUAUUUUCUGACUGGAAUACGGAGGAUUGGGUGGAGGUGGCGUAAAAAGGAAGGAAAAAGGAAUUUGAAAUCCGUCCCUUCCCACAGAAUCAUCGGGCUUGACUUUCCUUACUUUCCCAACCCCGCUACUGUAAAAAAAAAAAGAUACUGCAUCUUUUACCAAACCUAAGACACACAAAGUCACAGAACUCAUCCCAAUUCCGAAUGCUUCUCCGAUCCUGAAGUUCUCGCGAAGAGAAUAAGAUGCAGCUCCCCCUCCCUCUGUCUUUUUCCGUAUCUGACAACUAUGUCAUCAUCGUUUUUUUCUUCCGAAAGCUAGAAAGGGCCUACCUAGUGCUUGCAUUUCGGGGUAAAGUAGCUUUCUCCGGCUCAGCUCCUUUCUUUGGCAGAGAAGGGAGAAUGCUUUUCACAAGAACUGUAUUACCAUAUUUUCUUUCAUGAACAAAGGAGCCAACGAAGAAAGAUAAGCAUCUCAGUAGUAGCCAGAUGCUAAUGAAUUGAAUAAAGUUGUUUGCCUACCCGCCGUUAGAGUUCUCUUCCUCAUAGAAGCCGCUGGGUUGACCCCGAAGGCCGAAUUCAAUGGUAGAGAAGGCUUUAAUAAGAAUUUGGCCAUGAGAGACCUUCUUAAGUAUUGCAAAAGAAGGGGCCUGCUGAUAGAGCUGGGCGGGGAGGCGAUACUAGUUAUCAGGUCAGAGAGAGGCCUGGCCCGUAAGCUGGCCCCCUUUAAAAGCCAUUCCUUAUUAAUAAGGAUUUGUUACGCGCGAUAUGCCGACGACUUACUACUGGGAAUCGUGGGUGCCGUAUUUCUUCUCAUAGAAAUACAAAAACGUAUCACCCACUUUCGAUAUCAUAUAGAAUGUUUUUUUUAGCACCCGGUGCCCUUUCGCUCAAAGAAGCGUGAUUCAAUGCUGCGCUAUUUCCGACAAGAAGGAAAAUGGCCAAGGUUUAAUGAUUUCAUGUAAUUCUUCCGCUUACAGCUGAUCGCCUCUUUCAUGAUCUUUUCUAUGGGUAGAACGCUCUUCUCAAAGAUAUAAGAGAUUAUGACAAGAGCCAAUUUUGCAUCUUCUCCUCUUAAGAUUUUCUAUUUCUUUUGCAGGAGUUGUGCCCUCAUCAUCUCCCACGUUGUCCAUAUAUAUUUUAGCUGCUGCGUGGGCCUUUUGUAGAGAACUUUCCUCUCAAAGAUUCUCAGCCUCAAAAGAAGAUUAAUCCCAGCACACCUAUUUCCCCUUAGCUGGUAAAGGCUCAUCAUUCAGUCAGGGCUUUCUCGGACCAACCAACUACUUACUAUAUCUAAUUAUAAUGGAUCCCUGACGUGACUCCGUACCGACGCCUUUCCCUUUGUAGACGGAUAAAUGAGUCUGUAACCUUCGCUUUUCUCCUUUUACGAGCAGUUUUUCCAGUUCCUUAGUAUUACUUAAAAAAAACCUA
rnacentral:lncRNA from 1 species